AGUGGGUAGUGACACAACGCGGUGCGUUCCUGCAGGCAGGCUCAGGCCCCUGUGUACUCGGCUUGACCCAGGCAAGCUCCUGCACUUGCGGCUGAAGAGCAAGGGCUCAGGAAUUCCAAACACAAAGACCCCUUCCUAAUCCCUCGACACAUAAGGCUGCCAAUUUAGUAUCAAGAGAAGACAGGAAGAACUUUUAAGGAAGAAGUAACACUGGAGUCAACAACAACAACAGCAAAACAACCUCUGGCAAUUUCUUAUCCUGUGUCUGACUGACCUCUUUUACAUCCAAGGAAAGUAUUGUCAAAUCACCAAUCCCCCAGAGCUACACUGUCUUGGAGAUGCUAAAUUGCAAAGAGAAAACAUCUCAGCAUUAAGGAAGAAGAGAGCUCCGGCUGUGGAAUGAUUAGAGGGUGCAGCAUCAUUUGGCAAAAUGCUGCAAUAUCUCCUUAGGCUUAUAUGCUAUUGUCCUGAUUCUUAAGAUUUUCCAUCUCAGGUAUUCAGACCUCUAAACUCUGUCUCCUUAUCCCCAACCCUAUUUACAAGUUGACAUGUACCAAAAAGAGUAAAUGAAUGACAACAGUUUACAUUGCUACUCAUUCUCAAAGACAUUUUCAUUUUGACAUGAAAUAGAGAUGUAAUUUAAACUACAGUAGAAUUUAAGUGUAGAAUCAGGAAGGGGUGGGGGGAAAUUAGAGGUGCAGAUGAUUAUAUAGUCCAGUAACCUAGGAUUAAUUGCCUCUGCAUGUCUGUCUUUGGGAGAGACAUAAUCUCUCUAAACCUUAGUUUUCUCACUUGUAUUAUAGGAUCAUAAUUGUUCCUAUCUCAUAAAAGGCUUCCAAAGAAAAACUAGAGCUGCAUAGUAAUUAAAGUGGUAAAAGCAGAUUUUAAUUAGGAACUAUUACAGUAGGGGAAAAUGUGUCUAGUUUAGUAUAGCAGUAGGUUCAAUUCUGAAUACAGCAAGCACAGGUGAAGAUUUAUAGACAAAGAGCAGGGUGGGAGUCAACAGAUAAACAAUCACUAAGAGGAAACAUCAGGGGGUAAGCCAAAAAUAAAAUUCUAAGCCCCUCAACCAAUUGAAUGGAACCCUCUCUUGACCAAAGGUGUUCCAAAGUAAACCUGAGAAAUGAGUUCAGGCUGUGAUAGGAAGGGAGGAUCAGACAUACCUCAUUUUUACACCCUCCUCCCUUUGUAAUCCAGACACAACUUAUCAGCAUUAACAUUAAAACAGAGCUCUGUGUAACAAUAAGAUACCAAAUUCUAAUCUGAAUCUAGUAUAGCAUCACAUGACAGGUAGCAAGCCCUGAAAGAAAUAGAAACAUUUUACUCCAUUUUUUUUUUUGAGAUGGAGUCUUGCUCUGUCACCCAGGCUGGAGUGCAGUGCUGUGACCUCAGCUCACUCCAACCUCCACCUCCUGGGUUCAAGUAGUUCUCCCUGCCUCAGCCUCCCAAGUAGCUGGGAUUACAGGCACCUGCCACUAUGCCCAGUUAAUUUUUGUAUUUUUAGUAGAGACAGGGUUUCACCAUGUUAACCAGGCUGGUCUCAAGCUUCCGACUUUAGGUAAUCCAUCCACGUUGGCCUCCCAAAGUGCUGGGGUUACAGGCACGAGCUACUGUGCCCGGGCCCCACAUAUAUUUAUUUGACAUAUUUUGAAAUGGCCCUGCAAAGCUAUCUCUUGUGGGGAAAACCUACAUUCUGUAGAGAAUCCCCUUCCCUUUCCAUGUCUUUUCCUGAUCCAGGAGAGAGUUAACUGAGUGUAGCACCUUUAAGGGUCUAGCAAGAGAUAUGUACCAUCUAUUCCCUGAAGUCUGCUAAUCUGGAGGCUACAUCUACAUGACAAGAACCUUGGCUGAUAAUCCCCCUGUAUCAGCCACAAACUUUUCUUUCUGCUGGCCUCAAUUCUUCAGGCAGAACUUUUUAAACCAAUUGCCACCAGAGAAACCUUUAAAUCCACCUAUGAUGUGGAAGCCCCUGCUUUGAGAUGUCUCACCUUUCCAGGCUGGAUCAAUAUAUACCUUACAUUAUUGGUUUACAACUCUGCUUGUAGUUUCUGUCCCCCUGAAGUGUAUAAAAUCAAGGUGUAACCCAACCACCAUGGGCACAUGUUCUUGGGACCUGUUGAGACUAUGCCUUGAGCCUUGGUCACUUGUAUUUGGCUCAGAAUAAAUCCCUUAAAAUAUUUCA